UACGUAGGGACCGAGCGUUGUCCGGAAUCAUUGGGCGUAAAGAGCGUGUAGGCGGCCUUUUAAGUCCUGCGUGAAAUCCUGCGGCUCAACCGCAGACGGUCGUGGGAAACUGGAAGGCUAGAGUGCGGGGGAGGAGAGUGGAAUUCCCGGUGUAGCGGUGAAAUGCGCAGAUAUCGGGAAGAACACCCGUGGCGAAGGCGGCUCUCUGGAACGCAACUGACGCUGAGACGCGAAAGCGUGGGGAGCAAACAGG
rnacentral:rRNA from 1 species